rnacentral:rRNA from 2 species
UACGAAGGGGGCUAGCGUUGCUCGGAAUCACUGGGCGUAAAGCGCACGUAGGCGGGUUGCCAAGUCGGGGGUGAAAUCCUGGAGCUCAACUCCAGAACUGCCUUCGAUACUGGCGACCUUGGAGUCCGGGAGAGGUGAGUGGAACUGCGAGUGUAGAGGUGAAAUUCGUAGAUAUUCGCAAGAACACCAGUGGCGAAGGCGGCUCACUGGCCCGGUACUGACGCUGAGGUGCGAAAGCGUGGGGAGCAAACAGG